rnacentral:piRNA from 1 species
UGGUUGGAUGCCAACUGGGGUCCCUUCCUU